UACGAAGGGGGCUAGCGUUGCUCGGAAUCACUGGGCGUAAAGGGUGCGUAGGCGGGUCUUUAAGUCAGGGGGGAAAUCCUGGAGCUCAACUCCAGAACUGCCUUUGAUACUGAGGAUCUUGAGUUCGGGAGAGGUGAGUGGAACUGCGAGUGUAGAGGUGAAAUUCGUAGAUAUUCGCAAGAACACCAGUGGCGAAGGCGGCUCACUGGCCCGAUACUGACGCUGAGGCGCGAAAGCGUGGGGAGCGAACAGG
rnacentral:rRNA from 1 species